rnacentral:rRNA from 1 species
UACGUAGGGUGCAAGCGUUAAUCGGAAUUACUGGGCGUAAAGCGUGCGCAGGCGGCUUUGCAAGACAGAUGUGAAAUCCCCGGGCUUAACCUGGGAACUGCAUUUGUGACUGCAUGGCUGGAGUGCGGCAGAGGGGGGAUGGAAUUCCGCGUGUAGCAGUGAAAUGCGUAGAUAUGCGGAGGAACACCGAUGGCGAAGGCAAUCCCCUGGGCCUGCACUGACGCUCAUGCACGAAGCGUGGGAGC